UAAGUGGGAAACGAUGUGGGAAGGCUCAGACAGCUAGGAGGUUGGCUUAGAAGCAGCCAUCCUUUAAAGAAAGCGUAAUAGCUCACUAGUCGAGUCGGCCUGCGCGGAAGAUAUAACGGGGCUAAAUCAGGUACCGAAGCUACGGGUUCAUCCUUAUGGAUGAGCGGUAGAGGAGCGUCGUGUAAGCCAAUGAAGGUGGAUUGAGAAGUCUGCUGGAGGUAUCACGAGUGCGAAUGCUGACAUGAGUAACGAUAAGGGGAGUGAAAAACUCCCCCGCCGGAAGACCAAGGUUUUCUGUUCUACGUUAAUCGGAGCAGAGUGAGUCGGCCCCUAAGGCGAGGCGGAAACGCGUAGUCGAUGGGAAACGGGUUAAUAUUCCCGUACCGGAUGUGGUUGCGAUGGGGGGACGAAGAAGGCUAGGUGAGCCAGGCGUUGGUUGUCCUGGUGAAAGCAUGUAGGCCGAGGAAUCAGGCAAAUCCGGUUCCUCUGAGGUCGAGAUGCGAGACGAACUGACCACGGUCAGGAAGUCAUCGAUGCCACGCUUCCAGGAAAAGCCUCUAAGCUUCAGAUCACAUGCGACCGUACCCCAAACCGACACAGGUGGUCAGGUAGAGAAUACCAAGGCGCUUGAGAGAACUCGGGUGAAGGAACUAGGCAAAAUGGCACCGUAACUUCGGGAGAAGGUGCACCGGUUCGAGUGAAGGACUUGCUCCGUAAGCUCUUACCGGUCGAAGAUACCAGGUGGCUGCAACUGUUUAUUAAAAACACAGCACUCUGCAAACGCGCAAGCGGACGUAUAGGGUGUGACGCCUGCCCGGUGCCGGAAGGUUAAUUGAUGGGGUUAGGAUUCGUCCGAAGCUCUUGAUCGAAGCCCCGGUAAACGGCGGCCGUAACAAUAACGGUCCUAAGGUAGCGAAAUUCCUUGUCGGG
rnacentral:rRNA from 1 species